rnacentral:rRNA from 1 species
GAUGAACGCUGGCGGUAUGCUUAACACAUGCAAGUCGAACGGACUCUUCGGAGUUAGUGGCGGACGGGUGAGUAACGCGUGAGAAUCUGGCUUUGGGUUCGGGACAACCACUGGAAACGGUGGCUAAUACCGGAUGUGCCGAGAGGUAAAAGAGAAAUUGCCUGAAGAUGAGCUCGCGUCUGAUUAGCUAGUUUGUGAGGUAAAGGCUCACCAAGGCAGCGAUCAGUAGCUGGUCUGAGAGGAUGACCAUCCACACUGGGACUGAGACACGGCCCAGACUAAUACGGGAGGAGGCAGUGGGGAAUUUUCCGCAAUGGGCGAAAGACUGACGGAGAAAUACCGCGUGAGGGAAGAAGGCUCUUGGGUUGUAAACCUCUUUUCUUAGGGAAGAACAAAAUGACGGUACCUAAGGAAUAAGCAUCGGCUAACUACGUG